rnacentral:rRNA from 1 species
GGAAACGAUGUGGGAAGGCCCAGACAGCCAGGAUGUUGGCUUAGAAGCAGCCAUCAUUUAAAGAAAGCGUAAUAGCUCACUGGUCGAGUCGGCCUGCGCGGAAGAUGUAACGGGGCUAAACCAUGCACCGAAGCUGCGGCAGCGACACUAUGUGUUGUUGGGUAGGGGAGCGUUCUGUAAGCCUGUGAAGGUGUACUGUGAGGUAUGCUGGAGGUAUCAGAAGUGCGAAUGCUGACAUAAGUAACGAUAAAGCGGGUGAAAAGCCCGCUCGCCGGAAGACCAAGGGUUCCUGUCCAACG